UGGUGGAGUGAUUUGUCUGCUUAAUUGCGAUAACGAACGAGACCUUAACCUGACUAAAUAGCCCGUAUUGCUUUGGCAGUACGCUGGCUUCUUAGAGGGACUAUCGGCUCAAGCCGAUGGAAGUUUGAGGCAAUAACA
rnacentral:rRNA from 1 species